AGAGUUUGAUCCUGGCUCAGGAUGAACGCUGGCGGCGUGCUUAACACAUGCAAGUCGAACGGGAAACCUUUUAUUGAAGCUUCGGCAGAUUUAGCUGGUUUCUAGUGGCGGACGGGUGAGUAACGCGUGGGUAACCUGCCUUAUACAGGGGGAUAACAGUCAGAAAUGACUGCUAAUACCGCAUAAGCGCACAGGACCGCAUGGUCCGGUGUGAAAAACUCCGGUGGUAUAAGAUGGACCCGCGUUGGAUUAGCUUGUUGGUGGGGUAACGGCCCACCAAGGCGACGAUCCAUAGCCGGCCUGAGAGGGUGAACGGCCACAUUGGGACUGAGACACGGCCCAGACUCCUACGGGAGGCAGCAGUGGGGAAUAUUGCACAAUGGGGGAAACCCUGAUGCAGCGACGCCGCGUGAGUGAAGAAGUAUUUCGGUAUGUAAAGCUCUAUCAGCAGGGAAGAAAAUGACGGUACCUGACUAAGAAGCCCCGGCUAACUACGUGCCAGCAGCCGCGGUAAUACGUAGGGGGCAAGCGUUAUCCGGAUUUACUGGGUGUAAAGGGAGCGUAGACGGACUGGCAAGUCUGAUGUGAAAGGCGGGGGCUCAACCCCUGGACUGCAUUGGAAACUGUUAGUCUUGAGUGCCGGAGAGGUAAGCGGAAUUCCUAGUGUAGCGGUGAAAUGCGUAGAUAUUAGGAGGAACACCAGUGGCGAAGGCGGCUUACUGGACGGUAACUGACGUUGAGGCUCGAAAGCGUGGGGAGCAAACAGGAUUAGAUACCCUGGUAGUCCACGCC
rnacentral:rRNA from 1 species